UCCUCACACACAGGAACCACUGAUGGAACC
rnacentral:piRNA from 1 species